UACGUAGGGCGCAAGCGUGUCCGGAAUUAUUGGGCGUAAAGAGCUCGUAGGCGGUCUGUUACGUCCGCUGUGAAAACCCAGGGCUUAACCCUGGGCUUGCAGUGGAUACGGGUAGACUAGAGGCAGGUAGGGGAGAAUGGAAUUCCCGGUGUAGCGGUGAAAUGCGCAGAUAUCGGGAGGAACACCGGUGGCGAAGGCGGUUCUCUGGGCCU
rnacentral:rRNA from 1 species